ACCAAAGGAAUGGCUGGCUGGCUGGCUGGCUGGCUGGCUGGCUGUGAAGUGUGCGGGGCAGAGCGUGGGGACCCGUGUCCUUCCUAAUGGCUGGGAAAAGCCCGGAGAGCCACCGCGCUCGCUCGGGCCGACUGCUCUCAACGUCAAUUAGACACUCGGUGCACGGAGCGUGGACCGACCCGAGCGGUCCGGGGCGGAGCACAGAGGUGCGGUAGCAGACGACGCCCCGGGAUGCGGUAGCAGACGGCCCGGGAUGCGGAGCCCGACCCGGUGCCCGAGGAGAUGCACGACCCUGAGCAGGUGAGGCGGUUGCCCUGACGGCGAGCCGAGCGGACAGAAGCACCCCUGUACCCAGCGCGGGCCCCGGCUCCGCGCAUCCCUCACCUCCUCAGACCCCGGCCCCCAGCGCCCCGCGUCUCCUCACACGCCCUGGCCCACGGCUCCUCGGACCCCGGCCCCGCCGCACUCACCGCCUUCUUCAUGGUGGCCGCCAUCUUGGACUGAACCACGGGGCGCGGGGAAAACUACUCGGGCGUGCGUCACCCCCCGAGGUCCCUCUCGAGCCCUGCUGAGCCAGACUCCCCCCUAAAGCACAGCACUGUCUCAACACUGCUGCUAUCUAUGUCUCUGAACUAUGAAUUCUCAGGGCAAGGACUCAGGAAAAAAACUAUGCCCUGGAAACACUUGGUAUCUUCCAAUUAAAGGGACAGGCAGCUUCCCUCUCGGCCGGCAUAAAUACCAAAAGCGGCCAAUAGUCGGGCCCGAGAUCCCAGCCACGGCCAGCAGGGGGAGCGCUGGGUACCACCCAGCUGCGUGGAACGGGAGGCUUAAAUUCUUUUUCCAUUUAUUCAACAACCUAGAGAGAAGCUAAGGAGGCUAAGGGCGUGGCUUCGGCAAAGUAUUUAGUAAAUCCUUUGGUCAAGUAUUUGCACUCAAGCAUGGGGACCUGAGUUCGAUCUACAGCCCCUACCACAUAAAAACCCAGUGCUGGCGAAGCUACAAGCUGAAGGCCACUCUUGAAGUUGAUCUUAGCUUGUAUGCCACUGAUCACUGCAGGGGACACUAGGGGAUCAGCCAGGAAUAGAUGAAGCCAAAGCCACUGGUGUCACAUGAGUCUCUAUUGUUUCUGUCUGUCACCACCAUUUUGAUCUCAGAACAUGCAGUAUUCUUCCUUAAACAUCCUAGCUCAGAGUCCCCAAUAAUUUCUGAAACAUCAGAGGCUGUGCUGUGCUGUGCUGUGCUGUGCUGUGCUGUGCUGUGCGUGGGUGAGGAAGGGGGAGAAAUGGGGAAAUGAGGGUAAAAUGAGCUGACUUCCUGCUCUGCAGCUGAGGACAUGGCCAGUGUCGUGGCUGUCCCUGGAGCUGUACACCCAGCACUAGAAGUGACCCCAGCAUCUCAUCCUACAGUUACCUGAAGCCUCCUUGGAGACUCAGUGAUUGUCUGCCUGUUUCAGAAUCGAUCAGACUGUCUGCAUCCUCCAGAGGAAACCCCAUCAUCACUAGAGGGACAUAGCUUGCCUCUGUGACCUAGUCAAUCAUACUGUAACCAUAUCUGCCAUUUCUCUGACAUGUUCUUGUCUCGAUUUAAUAAAUAUCACAGUGAAGCUUAUAUGUGCAUUUUUUCAACCCUUUCCUUCCAAGAGUUCAGUGUCCUGGAGUUUGAUGCUCUUGCCCGGCAUAAACUAGAACUACUUUAAACAAUGAGGCUCCUGAACCUCCCCCACUCAGCUGGCAAGCACUGACAGACACCGGUGAGGAGCUUUCAAGAGGAACCCAGCUCCAACCAUUAGCUCUAGGACCUUCAGUGAGGAUGGCUGUUUUUACCAGAGUGAGGAAUAACAGGAGAGAUUGCUGUUUCCCGUUGGUGAUGUGACAGAUAAGAACCUGCAGUGACUCAGAACCCACGCUCAAUAACAGAAGCCAGGAGGAUGGUGGCUGGCUCUCUCCUGUUUCCUUGCAACUGUGUGAGUUGGUGUCAUCAGCAGAGAGUGCGUUCUAACUAAGCAGGCUCCUUGUUCCUCUCUGACACAGGGCUGGGCAGGGUGCCUAGCACGCCAUAGAUGCUGAGCAGCAAUGCUAGUGACUCCUCCAAAGAAUUCCAUUCUGACUGGAGAGAACGAAAACAAGUCAAGAGAUCUCUGGAGAUGUAUGUUACAUUAUUUUUCACUGGAAGCUGCCAUCACAGUGGAAGGAGUCUGUGGAUGUGCGCAUAUGAACACACAGGAUCCCAACCAUCUCGUCCAAGUUCCAGUAGCCUAGAAGCUGUCAGAACAGAAGGGCUCGCCUAACUGCUGUCGCUGGGUGGAAGAGCCAACAGUAAACUCUGAAAUAAGAACAGUUAGGAAAAUUGCCACUGCACAAAACUUGGGCACAUUCUCUGCUGACUGAGCGCUUUUGUUUUUAGGAGAAAGGGAUUCUUCCAUAGUUACCUGGAAUUGUCUCACUGGUCCUCUGUCUGAUCAUUGACACAACAGUGGAGUGGCCACGCUCACCCCACCGGGAGUUUACUUUCCCUAACAACAGAAGUGCUUCCUGCACCGGUCACCUGGCAAGGUAUAUGUUUGCUGGUUCACUUUAAAGCCCUGGAAAAGUAUAAUCACAUCUCAGUGAUGCCCAAGGAAGUCAACAGUCCCUAAAGUCAUCAUGGAAGGCUCCCAACAUACGAGAGCAAAUGAAACCGUGCUUCAGACCCAAAGUAUUUGGCACUGAAAAUCCCAUCAUAAGAUUUCCCUGUAUUACACACAGAUCAGAGUAGCCAAGUCAUACCAUGCAGGAAAAGACGCAGAACAGGACUGACAAAUGUCCCACUCAAUGGACCUCCAAUAAACUCUAUGCUGAGACUGGGGACUCUCCCCAGUGAACAGGAGACAUGGACUUCUAUGAAACUGAAAUUCUCUAAUUUACUUCUAUGAAUACACUAGCUAAUAAUUUCCUGUACUUCUGAGUAUCUCUUUGUAAUUCAUGAAGCGGUCUAGUGCUAGCAUUCAGUGUGGCACAUAAGUUUAAUCCCAGCACUCAGGAGGCAGAGGCAGGCAGAUCUCUGUGAGUUCAAGACCAACCUGGUCAACAUAGCAAGUUCCAUGACAGCCAGGACUACAUCAUGAGGCCCUGUCUCAAAAACAAAGCAAACAAAAACUGUCUAACGUUAAACUCCCAGGAAAAUCUACUUCAUCUGAAACCUGUCUCGGUCUUGAUCACGC
ensembl:antisense Gm16796 predicted gene, 16796